rnacentral:rRNA from 1 species
CCCUUAGAUGUUCUGGGCUGCACGCGCGCUACACUGAAGCUAUCAACACGUUUUCCCUCCCUGAGAAGGGCGGGUAACCUUUUGAAUCAGCUUCGUGGUAGGGAUCGGGGCUUGCAAUUGUUCCCCGUUAACCAGGAAUUCCUAGUAGACGCGAGUCAUAAGCUCGCAUCGAUUAAGUCCCUGCCCUUUGUACACACCGCCCGUCGCUACUACCGAUUGAACGUUUUAGUGAGGCAUUUGGACCGACGCAUCUCAGUUUAACCGCUGGUUUGUGUUGGAAAGACUUCCAAACUUGAGCGUUUAGAGGAAGUAAAAGUCGUAACA